AACAAGGCGUACCUGCGGACCUGCGGAGGGAUCAUUACAGAGUUGCAAAACUCCCUAAACCAUUGUGAACGUUACCUAAACCGUUGCUUCGGCGGGCGGCCCGGGUCCUUCCCGGCGCCCCUCGGCCCUCGCGGGCGCCCGCCGGAGGUAAACCAAACUAUUGCAUUGUAUGGCCUCUCUGAGUCUUCUGUACUGAAUAAGUCAAAACUUUCAACAAUGGAUCUCAGAUCGGAAGAGCAC
rnacentral:misc_RNA from 1 species